rnacentral:lncRNA from 1 species
GAUCUCCUGACCUCGUGACCUGCCCAGCUCGGCCUCCCAAAGUGCUGGGAUUACAGGCAUGAGCCAUUGCGCCUAACCUCAGAAACCAUUUUUAUAACCUCAAUACCUAAUAGAAACUGGCACAUGGACUGUGUGCGAAAUGUUCAAACUUGCUCACUGGGUUAAAAAGGAUGGACAGCUUAGAGAAAAAGAAGAAAAAAAGGAAACUCGGCUGUGCGCAGUGACUCAUGCCUAUAAUGCCAGCACUUUGGGAGGCCAAGGCAACUUUGCAAAUUAAAUGGUUCACAUAUGAAGGAGCACAGCUGUAGAAGGAAAAUAAGGAAGAGAAAAUAACUUCGGAAAAUUCCCAGGACUCAUACUCUAAAGGUCAUGGUUCCAGUACCAGCUUGGCUACCCCUGUGAGCUGUGACUGCAAGAGUCAGCACCUAAAUUAGAUCAACACUACAACAUCAAAAAGCCAGCUUGAUGGCACAGCGGGGAGUGAGGAAGACUCGGUGGACAAAUCUGACUGGAAAACAAGUAGGCGUUGCAGAUGAAGACCUGGAACCAUGGUAGGAAGUGGGACAGGGAGCAUUUGGACAAGCUGUUCAAGAACUGAUCAUGCUCAUGUGUAUGGGAAAACAGAUGGAGGAAGAGAAAUUCCUGAAGAGCACAAGACUGGUGGGGCAAGGAACAAGCCUACUGAGAUGAGUUGCAGAUUUGAAGAUGGGAGAAAUGGUUUCGUUGUCUACCAUGUAAAAACUCAUUUAUGCAAGAUGCUUGAUAUCUGAAUUUCAAUUUCUUCAUUAUCAAAAUGAAUAUUAAAAAUACUCUACUUCUUAGAGUUGUCAAAAAGAU